CCUACGGGAGGCUGCAGUCGAGAAUCAUUCACAAUGGGGGAAACCCUGAUGGUGCGAAGCCGCGUGGGGGAAUGAAGGCCUUCGGAUUGUAAACCCCUGUUAUGUGGGAGCAAAUUAAAAAGAUAGUACCACAAGAGGAAGAGACGGCCAACUCUGUGCCAGUAGCUGCGGUACUACAGCGGCAUCAAGAGUUGUUCGGAAUCACUGGGCGUAAAGCGUGCGUAGGCGGUUUCGUAAGUCGUGUGUGAAAGGCGCGGGCUCAACCCGCGGACGGCACAUGAUACUGCGAGGCUAGAGUAGUGUAGAGGGAAGCGGAAUUCUCGGUGUAGCAGUGAAAUGCGUAGAUAUCGAGAGGAACACUCGUGGCGAAGGCAGGUUCCUGGACAGUAACUGACGCUGAGGCACGAAGGCCAGGGGAGCGAAAGGGAUUAGAUACCCCUGUAGUC
rnacentral:rRNA from 1 species